rnacentral:snRNA from 1 species
AUAUUUACCUGCAGGGAGAUGCCAUGAUCACGAAGGUGGCUUUCCCAGGGUGAGGGUCAUCCAUUGCACUCCAGAUGUGCUGACCCCUGCGAUUUCCCCAAAUGUGGGAAACUCGACUGCAUAAUUUGUGGUAGUGGGGGACUGCAUUCGCGCUUUCCCCUG